GAGUUUGAUCAUGGCUCAGGAUGAACGCUAGCGGCAGGCCUAAUACAUGCAAGUCGAACGCGUCAUUAUAGCUUGCUAUAGUGAUGAGUGGCGCACGGGUGCGUAACGCGUAUGCAACCUACCGUAAUCAGGGGUAUAGCCUCUUGAAAGAGAGAUUAACACCGCAUAAUAUUAUUUGGAGGCAUCUUUGGAUAAUUAAAUAUUUAUAGGAUUACGAUGGGCAUGCGUGACAUUAGCUAGUUGGUUGGGUAACGGCCUACCAAGGCUACGAUGUCUAGGGGAUCUGAGAGGAUGACCCCCCACACUGGUACUGAGACACGGACCAGACUCCUACGGGAGGCAGCAGUAAGGAAUAUUGGUCAAUGGAGGCAACUCUGAGCCAGCCAUGCCGCGUGCAGGAUGACGGCCUUAUGGGUUGUAAACUGCUUUUAUACAGGAAUAAAGGUUCUUACGUGUAAGAGAUUGAAUGUACUGUAGGAAUAAGGAUCGGCUAACUCCGUGCCAGCAGCCGCGGUAAUACGGAGGAUCCGAGCGUUAUCCGGAUUUAUUGGGUUUAAAGGGUGCGUAGGCGGUUUUUUAAGUCAGGGGUGAAAUUUUGCGGCUCAACCGUAAACGUGCCUUUGAUACUGAAGGACUUGAAUAAAAUGGACGUAGGCGGAAUGAGACAAGUAGCGGUGAAAUGCAUAGAUAUGUCUC
rnacentral:rRNA from 1 species